rnacentral:miRNA from 14 species
AUGAUGCUUUUAAUAGUUUAUAUUAUAUUAUGUUUAAGUCAUGUGUGUGUAUAUAAUGUAUAACAUAUACAUACACAUAAACACAUAUGCACAUCACA